rnacentral:rRNA from 1 species
AUUGAACGCUAGCGGGAUGCUUUACACAUGCAAGUCGAACGGAGUGGGGAACGAGCGGGUAAUGUAUAGGUACGUGCCCAGUAGCGGGGGAUAACUACGCGAAAGCGUAGCUAAUAUCGCAUACUAUUGGAGCGGCUGAUAUCGGAUUAGCUAGUGGGUGGGGUAACGGCUAACCAAGGCGACGAUCCGUAGCUGGUUUGAGAGGACGACCAGCCACACUGGGACUGAGACACGGCCCAGACUCCUACGGGAGGCAGCAGUGGGGAAUAUUGGACAAUGGGCGAAACCCUGAUCCAGCCAUCCCGCGUGUACGAUGAAGGCCUUCGGGUUGUAAAGCACUUUUGGCAGGAAAGCGGUACCUGCAGAAGAAGCACCGGCUAACUACGUGCCAGCCGCCGCGGUAAUAC